GACGAACGCUGGCGGCGUGCCUAAUACAUGCAAGUCGAACGCAGUGGGGACGGGUGAGUAACACGUGGGUAACCUCCCAUCAGAGGGGAUAACACUUGGAAACAGGUGCUAAACCGAUAUUGAUGGAUGGACCCGGGGUGCAUUAGCUAGUGGGGGGGGUAACGGCUCACCAAGGCCACGAUGCAUAGCCGACCUGGGAGGGUGAUCGCCCACACUGGGCCUGGGACCCGGCCCAGAUUCUUCCGGGAGGCAGCAGUGGGGAAUAUUGCACAAUGGGCGCAAGCCUGAUGAAGCCAUGCCGCGUGGAUGAAGAAGGCCUUAGGGUUGUAAAGUACUUUCAGCGGGGAGGCGUUACCCGCAGAAGAAGCACCGGCUAACUACGUGCCAGCAGCCGCGGUAAUAC
rnacentral:rRNA from 1 species